GCUUCUGUUGCACUAAGCUGGAUGUAGAGUGAAUGAGCAGGUUGUAGGUCAAAUGCCAUGGAUUCUUGAUUCUUAUCAAGAUUUAUUAAAUUUCUCUUGAAUAAAUGUUUCUCAAUUUGCUAUAAGCCAUAGGAAAACUUUCAGGCUUUAAAAUUUUAAACCCAUUGGAUAAAAUGGAAUUCAUUCUCCCUCCCUCCUUCCUUUACUUCCUCCCUUCUUGCCAGAAUUCCUUCUUUUCCCACUAACUUCCUUUCUUCUUUCUUUCCUUUUUUUCUUUCUUCCUCCAACACAUGUUUGUUAGGGCCUCUAGCUCUACAUAGCCAUAUUAAACUCUUUGGAGAAAUAACUUGCAAAGACUGGAGAUCUAAGAACUCUGAAUGUGGGAACUGAAUGCCAGAUCUUGGAUUCUCAGUGGGAAGUGUGGCCUGGAGAAGAAGUUUACAAUGUUACAUGUUUCUGAGGACCUUUCAUACUUCAAGCUCAAGUCCAGCUUGCCAAGUUCCAGUUUUUAUCUGAUCAUCUUUGCAUCAAUAAUACAUGAAGCUGAGAUCUUCUGAAAAGAGGAUACUAUUCUCCCCCCUCACUGAAUGCUUUGCUUUUGCCAGCACCAACAUUGAUUUGGAUUUAAUAAUCUGUAGUCCUUUUGGUUUGAUCACACUUCUCAGGAAACCCCAAAAAGAGCCAUGGCCACAUAUCCACCAACAUGGAAUCAAUUGCUCCUUCUUAAUAAAUGCAAUCAUUGAACACCUGAUCCAUACAUUGCUUGUUACGUGUAAUUGAUUAAAGUUUCGACAUAGUUAAGAUUUUAGUGGCCCCAGGUUUUCCAUAUUCAGAUCCUCUCAACCAAAAAAAUGACAAUCAACAAAACCUAUGCCGUAGAAGGAUGAUGUUUCUGAUUGUAAUUCCUUGUCACCUCCAUCAUCACACAUUUCGUCAUACUCUGCUCUUAAACGAUGGUAGCAGUUCUGCUGCUCUCAGGCUGCUCUCGCUCCAGCUGUUCACGUUAAAGACCACUGUGUGAGUAA